AGAGGCACUCAGCUGCAGGAGAGACAGGCCCACGUGCUUUCUCUCAACAGCACCAGUAUGACAAGCAGCUUUCAAGAGGCAUUUUAAGGAAGCCCAGGGAAGGAAGAGCUAUUCUCCCUGGACUACCUAAAAAAAAACCCUGUUUUCAAUGACUGCAAUCUCCUUUCUGCUUGCUGGUUUUGCUUCCUUAAAACAUUUUCUACUUCUACUCUAGAGGAGAGGGACUCGGAGCGGCUUACAUGGGGCCAUGCCCGACAACAAUUACGAUAACAGCAAUAAAAC
rnacentral:lncRNA from 11 species